AAGGUACAUAAUGAAGUAAGAUGGAAUAAAAGGGUAAUAAGAAAUAAGAUGGAAUAGGACGAAUGUAUUAGAAGAGAAAUGGGGGAAUAAAAUAAUAAUAACAAAAGAAAGUACUUUUGGUUUAGAGGCAGAGAGGGCUGCUUGAGGUGAAAUGAAAUGGAAUGGGACGAAACAUUGUGCAAGUAACGAAAUUUCAAAACGAAUAGGGAAGGGAGAGUGAGGAUUUCGUUCAUGGGUUUCUUUUGUCUUAUGUUUUUUUUUUUUAGAGAGGGAGAGAGAGCACAACGAGGGGCUGGUGAGCGAGAGGAAAUGGUGAAAACAGGGGUUCAGUGGCGGACAAGAAGAAGGGACAGUGCAAAGAUGGUGCAGCAAGGGUGGAGGAACGGGUGUUUGGCCCCAGGCGGUAGAAGACAAGGCUAAAAUUUAAGAGAGGCGAAGGAUGCUAGGAGCAAGGAAGGGCCAGCAGCAGAAUGGAGGAGGUUGCAAUCAGGGGGUGGAGAUUGGAGCAGUAAGGUAGUGGAGAUGGGAGCAGCAAGGUUGGGGCUUGGUCGCAGGUAAGAAAGAAGAGGGUAGUCGUAGCUGGUGUGAGGUGGUGACGAGAGAAGAAGGGCGAAGAACAGGGGCACAACUGAAGAGGAAAUUGGGUCGUUAGUUGCAGGUGGUGAUUGGCUGCUGGUUGUUGCAGCGAGAAGAGUAGGGAAAGAGAGCUGGGUAGGUGUGGCAGAGGAAGUGGAAGAGGUGAUGGCUGGUUUGGGUCGUGGGUGAUUGAAGAAGGCAAAGACAGGGGUGGCUGCGAUGGAUAGCUAGUUGGGGAGAUGGUUGUGGAUGGUGUGGCGAGAGAGAGGAGGCCAGUGGUGGAGGAGAAAGGGGCUGACUUUUGGGUACAGUGAAAAGGAGGGGAGUGGCUCAGCAAGAGAAGAGUGGCGUGCGGCGAUGGUAGUGAGGGCUCCGAUAUGGCGUGGUGGCGUACGGGAGUUGUCG
rnacentral:lncRNA from 1 species